AUUGAACGCUGGUGGCAUGCCUUACACAUGCAAGUCGAACGGCAGCGGACCUUCGGGUGCCGGCGAGUGGCGAACGGGUGAGUAAUAUAUCGGAACGUACCUUUCAGUGGGGGAGUAACGUAGCGAAAGUUACGCUAAUACCGCAUAUUCUGUGAGCAGGAAAGCAGGGGAUCGCAAGACCUUGCGCUGAUUGAGCGGCCGAUAUCAGAUUAGCUAGUUGGUGAGGUAAAGGCUUACCAAGGCGACGAUCUGUAGCGGGUCUGAGAGGAUGAUCCGCCACACUGGAACUGAGACACGGUCCAGACUCCUACGGGAGGCAGCAGUGGGGAAUUUUGGUACAAUGGGCGGCAAGACCUGAUCCAGCCACUGCCGCGUGAGUGAAGAAGGCC
rnacentral:rRNA from 1 species